rnacentral:rRNA from 1 species
UCAGGAUGAACGCUGGCGGCGUGCCUAAUACAUGCAAGUCGAGCGAACCACUUCGGUGGUGAGCGGCGAACGGGUGAGUAACACGUAGGUGAUCUGCCCAUCAGACGGGGACAACGAUUGGAAACGAUCGCUAAUACCGGAUAGGACGAAAGUUUAAAGGUGCUUCUGGCACCGCUGAUGGAUGAGCCUGCGGCGCAUUAGCUAGUUGGUAGGGUAAAGGCCUACCAAGGCGACGAUGCGUAGCCGACCUGAGAGGGUGAACGGCCACACUGGGACUGAGACACGGCCCAGACUCCUACGGGAGGCAGCAGUAGGGAAUCUUCGGCAAUGGGCGAAAGCCUGACCGAGCAACGCCGCGUGAAUGAUGAAGGCCUUCGGGUUGUAAAAUUCUGUUAUAAGGGAAGAACGACUUUAGUAGGAAAUGGCUAGAGUGUGACGGUACCUUAUGAGAAAGCCACGGCUAACUACGUGCCAGCAGCCGCGGUAAUACGUAGGUGGCGAGCGUUAUCCGGAAUUAUUGGGCGUAAAGAGCGCGCAGGUGGUUGAUUAAGUCUGAUGU